GAUGAACGCUGGCGGCGUGCUUAACACAUGCAAGUCGAACGGUGAAGGCGGAGCUUGCUCUGCUGGAUCAGUGGCGAACGGGUGAGUAACACGUGAGCAAUCUGCCCCUGACUCUGGGAUAAGCGCUGGAAACGGCGUCUAAUACUGGAUACGAGCUGCGAAGGCAUCUUCAGCAGCUGGAAAGAAUUUCGGUCAGGGAUGAGCUCGCGGCCUAUCAGCUUGUUGGUGAGGUAAUGGCUCACCAAGGCGUCGACGGGUAGCCGGCCUGAGAGGGUGACCGGCCACACUGGGACUGAGACACGGCCCAGACUCCUACGGGAGGCAGCAGUGGGGAAUAUUGCACAAUGGGCGAAAGCCUGAUGCAGCAACGCCGCGUGAGGGACGACGGCCUUCGGGUUGUAAACCUCUUUUAGCAGGGAAGAAGCGAAAGUGACGGUACCUGCAGAAAAAGCGCCGGCUAACUACGCG
rnacentral:rRNA from 1 species